CGCGCUGUCGUCGGUUCUGUUACACGAUCAUCGUCAAAACAAAUAAAAAAAACAUUUAGAGUAAGAUAGGUAACAAUCCAGCAUUUUAUUUUGAAAUCGGCCGAAUAAAGAGGCCGCUGAAUUUGCUGCCAGUGUUUUUAUUUAGAAACUAAUCGGACGAUAUGUUCACGUUGUGCAUGUCGCGAUCUUCUGGACACAAACCGGCGUCUCAACCACCCCUAACGGUCUCUUCGUCGACGAUCUUGACCGACCAUAACCCGCUCCAUGACAACCGAUCACCUAGGAAACAAAUAAAAGGAGGAUAUCUUUUACGAUACAGAAGAGGAAUUCUUUGUAAAGGUUGGCGCAAGGAAUGGGUGGUGCUUUAUGAAGAUUCAACGAUAGCCUUUUACGCAGAAAAGGGUUUGAACAGAGCUCGUGGGGAGGUUUUGAUCAGUGAUUCGCCCGACUUAUUAGCCGUAGGAGAAUGGACCAGACAAGUGCCCAAGCCUCCGCGCGUUCCUAGACCGUGUCAAGUAGGUCAGUUGAUAGUGGUAGGCAACAGAUAUCCAAAACAAGUUCACUGGCUUAUAGCGCCAUCGUGUAACGAAGUCGAUGACUGGAUGACAGCAAUUAGUAACACGCUUCCGCCACCUCCUCAGCUCACCCUGGAUGAGAAAAGGCGUAGGUCACUUUCAUUAUCAGCCUUGAAGGAAGUCAUACAACCGACGGAUAGUCACAAACUUAUUUCACCGCACACUAAGUUCCCUCAAAAUGAACUACCUUUAGCUAAUGGUAUCGCAAAAUGUCCCGGCAUCAAAAAUCAACCGACUUCUCCCCUAACACCGCCUGUCCGCCCCCUAAGCAAUGGAAAUAUAUCGGAAAAGUUAAUGGACCCGUCUACGAUAGCACCAACUCGAAGGUUCAACAACGACCACACCGUAUUUUCAACAGCGGUUAUCGACUGGGGUCACACUUGGGGUCAAGGAUGGGGUUGGAGUCAAGCCGUCUGUGCCACACAAGCCGCUUGUGCCCAUGAUUGUGCGGUCACAUCCACGGUCUACUAUCACGCAGACGAUUAUACUUUAGGUGGCUAUGAAGAGAUGGAUUGGAGCGCUUUCGGUGACUUUUGUUUUUAAACUUCGCCAUGAAACAGUUGGGGCCAUUUUUCUACAGCAACAAAGAAAAAAACAUUACAAGUUAUCAUGCUGGACAUUAUGCUACGGUGCGGUUUGUUUCUAAAGACUGAAACUAUGCAACACAGGCGAUGUGACCUUCAGUCUGACCGGCGCAAAGUAG
rnacentral:misc_RNA from 1 species